CGAGCCGGGUGAUAGCUGGUUGCCUGUGAAAUGAAUCUAAGUUCUUCCUUAAUCCUCCUCCACGGACACCUACAAGCCCUCAUGUAAAGGACUAAGAGAAAUUUAAAGGAGGUACAGCUCCUUUAAAAAAGAAUACAACCUCCACUAGCGGAUAACUCCCACCAACUUCCACUAGAUUGUGGGCCUUUAAGCAGCCACCAGUAAAGAGUGCGUCAAAGCUCUAUACUUAAAAAUCUAAAAACAACAUGACUCCCUUAUCCUUAACAGGCUAACCUAUCACAAUAGGAGAAUUUAUGCUAAAAUGAGUAACUAGGGUCUUUUCCCCUCUCAAGCGCAAGCUUACAUCCGCACAUUAUUAACAGGCUUCACUAAUACUACAACUUAAACAAGAUUAGGUAUUAACCACCCCUGUUAACCCAACUCAGGAGCGCCUACUAGAAAGAUUAAAAUCUGCAAAAGGAACUAGGCAAACCCAGGGCCCGACUGUUUACCAAAAACAUAGCCUUCAGCCAUCCAAGUAUUGAAGGUGAUGCCUGCCCAGUGACAUUACGUUUAACGGCCGCGGUAUCCUAACCGUGCGAAGGUAGCGUAA
rnacentral:rRNA from 1 species